AACGAACGCUGGCGGCAUGCCUAACACAUGCAAGUCGAACGAGACCUUCGGGUCUAGUGGCGCACGGGUGCGUAACGCGUGGGAAUCUGCCCUUGGGUCCGGAAUAACUCAGAGAAAUUUGAGCUAAUACCGGAUGAUGACGUAAGUCCAAAGAUUUAUCGCCCAGGGAUGAGCCCGCGUAGGAUUAGCUAGUUGGUGAGGUAAAGGCUCACCAAGGCGACGAUCCUUAGCUGGUCUGAGAGGAUGAUCAGCCACACUGGGACUGAGACACGGCCCAGACUCCUACGGGAGGCAGCAGUGGGGAAUAUUGGACAAUGGGCGAAAGCCUGAUCCAGCAAUGCCGCGUGAGUGAUGAAGGCCUUAGGGUUUGUAAAGCUCUUUUUACCCGGGGAUGAUAAUGACAGUACCGGGAGAAUAAGCCCCCGGCUAACUCCGUGCCAGCCGCCGCCGU
rnacentral:rRNA from 1 species